GGGGGGGGGGGGGGGGGGGCCGGGGAGGGGCAGGGGGGGGGGAGGGGGGAGGGGCUGGGUGGUCGGAGGUGAGCGGCGGACGGGUGAGGAACACGGGGAUAACCUACCUGUAAGACUGGGAUAACGUCGGGAAACCGGAACUAAUCCCGGAUGAUAUUUUGAACCGCAUGGUUCAAACGUGAAAGACGGUCUUGCGGUCACUUAUAGAUGGAUCCGCGCUGCAUUAGCUAGUUGGUAAGGUAACGGCGUACCAAGGCAACGAUGCAUAGCCGACCUGAGAGGGGGAUCCGGCACACUGGAAACGAGACCAGGGUCCGACCCCUUCGGGAGGCAGCGGUAAGGAAGUUUCCGGAAUUGGGGAAAGCCUGACGGAGCCACGCCGCGUGAGUUAUGAAGGUCUUCGGAUCCUAAAACUCUGUUUUUAGGGAAGAACAUAUGUGUAAGUAACUGUGCACAUCUUGACGGUACCUAAUCAGAAAGCCACGGCUAACUACGUG
rnacentral:rRNA from 1 species